rnacentral:rRNA from 1 species
UAUUCCCGGUAGCAUGCUUGUCUGAGUGUCUGUGGAU